rnacentral:rRNA from 1 species
GAUGAACGCUGGCGGCGUGCCUAAUACAUGCAAGUCGAGCGAACAGAUAAGGAGCUUGCUCCUUUGACGUUAGCGGCGGACGGGUGAGUAACACGUGGGUAACCUACCUAUAAGACUGGAAUAACUCCGGGAAACCGGGGCUAAUGCCGGAUAACAUUUAGAACCGCAUGGUUCUAAAGUGAAAGAUGGUUUUGCUAUCACUUAUAGAUGGACCCGCGCCGUAUUAGCUAGUUGGUAAGGUAACGGCUUACCAAGGCAACGAUACGUAGCCGACCUGAGAGGGUGAUCGGCCACACUGGAACUGAGACACGGUCCAGACUCCUACGGGAGGCAGCAGUAGGGAAUCUUCCGCAAUGGGCGAAAGCCUGACGGAGCAACGCCGCGUGAGCGAUGAAGGUCUUCGGAUCGUAAAACUCUGUUAUUAGGGAAGAACAAAUGUGUAAGUAACUGUGCACGUCUUGACGGUACCUAAUCAGAAAGCCACGGCUAACUACGUG